rfam:Salmo salar isolate Sally breed double haploid chromosome ssa27, whole genome shotgun sequence.
UGCAUUCACUACUGUAAGUCACUCUGGAUAAGAGCGUCUGCUAAAUGACUAAAU